CAAUAAGAGUGAUGUAGUGAGGGAGUGGAAGAAAGAAAUUGGAAGAGGAAACAAAAACAAAUCUAAGAAACUUCUUCUCAUGUCUCCCUGUUGUGUGUGUGAGUGAUGCAAACUAUUCACUCUUUUGCUUUACCUCACUCCUCUCUUCUCUUCUGUUAGGGGAGAGUUAAGUAUUGGAGGAGCACGAGUCCGGUGCUCCGCCAGGUAAUGUAAACCCCCCAAGUGUUCUGGCGGAAUUGGAGGGAGGGAAGACACGAGGCACGAGAUCGAGACGGCGCCGACGAGAUCCAUGGUGGCCACCACCCCGGCCAACACCGCCGCCUCCCGGAACCGCCCUCCAAGCCCCAAGAACCCUCCUCCUCAGUACCGCGACGAUGCCGAGAACCCCCACCGCCUGCCGCUGGUCCGCUCCGAGAAGUACAAUGCCGCCCCCAGGCGGCCUCCCUCCAAGGAGAUCUCAUCGCGCUACCUCCCCUCGAACGCCCCCUCUCCCUCUCCCUCCUCGUCCACGGCCACUUCGUACUCCACGCCCACUACCUUCUCUUCUUCCAGCUCUUCCUCGAGUUCGCGGCGCCUCCCUUCCCCUCCCGUGCGGCCGCGGCCCUCGACGCCGCCGGCCUUGCCCCAGUCCGUUGCCCAGAGGCGAUCUCAUUCCGUCGAUCGCGCACGGCCUUUGACGCCGCGACGUGAUCCCCGGCCCGCUCCGGUUGAACCCUCCUCUGCCGCUCGAGCCCUAAGCACGACCACCCGAAGCCUCUCGGUCUCAUUCCAAGGGGAAUCCUUCUUCUACCAGACCAGCCGCGCCAAGACCGCCUCCCCUAGUCCGGCACGCAGGCCCAGCCCGGAACGCCGACGUGCCAGUGGCGUUUCCGCAACACCAGCGAGGACAGGAGAUCACUCGGAGAACACUGUGCCCUUGGACAACCACCGCCUGUGGCCUGCCGCAAGUACUCGAGCGCCAAAUCCGUUGACGAGGAGCUUCGAUUGCUCGUUGGAGCACAAAGACCCAAUCUUGCUCACCGUCCGGUUGCUGCAGCAGUCGAUGGUGUUCAAUGAUGCCCCGGGGAAGGUUUCAUACGAUGGGGGCGAUCUCUCUGCUUCCUCUGACACUGAUAGCGUGUCAUCAGGGGGCAAUUCGGGGACGCCGGAGCUCGGCAUGCCACCAAGGGCGAAGGUCACUCCUCAGGGAAUCAGUGUGCCUGCGAGGUUUUGGCAGGAGACAAAUAGCCGCCUUCACCAGCCUCCGGAUUCGGGCUCGCUGCAGUCUUCAGGUACGAGGCACAUGGUCCAUCCGAAGCUUGGUUCGGUGAAGAAAUUGUCAGUGGAAAGGUCGUUAUCGUCGUCUCCAAGGUCGAUUUCUUCGCCACUCCAUGGACCCAUGAGACCUUCUUCUCCUGGUAAGCUCAUGACUUCCCCAUCAAGGGGAAUGACUAGUCCUUCGAGGGCAAGGAUUGGCACAACUGUGACUGUCUCUCCAAUCAGUCAGCCAGCUAAUGCACCUUCAAUCCUAAGCUUUGCUGCUGAAGUGAGGAGAGCAAAGAAAGGAGAGAACAGGAUUGAAGAGGCACACAUGUUGAGGCUAUUUGAUAAUCGACACAUGCAAUGGCGAUUUGCUAAUGCGAGGGCCACUGCAGCAUUCCUGUUGCAGAAGGUGACUGCAGAGAAAACUAUGUAUGAUGCAUGGGUUACUACCUCAAAAUUGCGUGAUUCUGUUGCUUUUAAGAGGAUCAAGCUACAACUUCUGACACAAAAUUUAAAGCUAAAUUCUGUUCUUGAGGGGCAAAUGACCUAUCUGGAAGAAUGGUCUCUCAUGGAUGGGGACCAUUCAAAUGCAUUAUCUGGAGCUAUUGAAGCACUAAAGGCUACAACACUCCGUCUUCCUGUUGUUGGUGGAGCCAAGGCAGACAUCCAGAAAGUGAAACAUGCUGUUGGUUCGGCUGUGGAAGUGAUGCAAACAAUGGGAUCCUCCGUAUGCUCUCAGUUGUCGAAGGUACAAGAAAUGAGUUCCAUGAUAUCUGAAAUUGCUAAAGUGGCUGCUGAAGAACGCCUAUUACUUGAUCAAUCCAGAGACCUCUUGUCCACAGUCGCAGCUAUGCAUGUCAAACAAUGUAGCCUACAAAGUCAUACGAUACAAGUAAAACGAAAAGUCAGCCAAAUGCAACUGUAGAGCAGAUUUUCUUACAAUCUUCUUUGAUCACUAACAUCAAAGUAACCUCCUCAGUUUCUAACUGGAGAUUAUGCGAAGGAAUUACCUUGCUGUGUAUACAGAUUAUGUCUUCAUAUGUUAAUCAAAGUGAAGCUUAUGUAUAUAUGUGUUUUGGCACCUUCUUUUUUCUUUUUCUUUUCACAAAGUAAAAGAAUCACUUGUUUCUUCAUUUAAGACAUUAGAAGGAUGUUUACGUGUCAGAGCUGUUUACUAACUGUGAAAAGGAGCAAUAAUUUUUUGGUAUUAGAAGUUUACCUAUGAAAACUGUUUUCAGCUUAAGCAAAAUGAUGCUGGAAUUCUAGGCCCUCUGUAGUCAAGAAUAUUUCUUGAUGCAAUGACCUUGGCUAAUU